rnacentral:rRNA from 1 species
UACGUAGGGUGCAAGCGUUAAUCGGAAUUACUGGGCGUAAAGCGUGCGCAGGCGGCUUUGCAAGACAGAUGUGAAAUCCCCGGGCUCAACCUGGGAACUGCAUUUGUGACUGCAUGGCUAGAGUACGGUAGAGGGGGAUGGAAUUCCGCGUGUAGCAGUGAAAUGCGUAGAUAUGCGGAGGAACACCGAUGGCGAAGGCAACCCCCUGGACCUGUACUGACGCUCAUGCACGAAAGCGUGGGGAGCAAACAGG